rnacentral:rRNA from 1 species
UACGAAGGGUGCAAGCGGUAAUCGGAAUUACUGGGCGUAAAGCGCGCGUAGGUGGUUCAGUAAGUUGGAAGUGAAAUCCCCGGGCUCAACCUGGGAACUGCUUUCAAAACUGCUGAGCUAGAGUACGGUAGAGGGUGGUGGAAUUUCCUGUGUAGCGGUGAAAUGCGUAGAUAUAGGAAGGAACACCAGUGGCGAAGGCGACCACCUGGACUGAUACUGACACUGAGGUGCGAAAGCGUGGGGAGCAAACAGG